rnacentral:snoRNA from 1 species
GGAGUGGCGGUGAUGAUCCCACAUUGCGCAAGGGCUCUGACCCCCUCGCAAAAGCGUGUCGCGAGGGGGGCUCGCUGAAGCACACAACGCACCGAACUGAGCCACUCU